rnacentral:lncRNA from 1 species
UGCUUAAAUCUUUUUACUCUCUGAGUUAUGAAUUUAGGUUAGUUCUACAUCCAAGAUAAAUCUCAAUUAAUUCUUCUUUUUUCUUUUCCCAUUUCCUCCUGUCUCCCUCUCUUCUUUCCUUCUACUCUUUUCUUCACUUUUCUCUCUCUCUUCUUCUCAGUUUUUAUUUUUGUAAUUUGAAAUCAAUGUGCAAGCCAGAGCUUCUUUAGGAAAGACCAUUCCUGAGAGAACAACAGGAAGAAAUAUGAAUGUUAAACAUGUGGUGCCGUGUGGAAGCAAAGCUCCAUAAUUAAUCUAUAGAGCCAUCACCACUGUCAAAAGCAGAAAGGCCCCAGAGGAAAUAAUUUUUGUAUAGAAUGAUGGCAGCAUUAGUGACAGCAGUAAUGAUAAGACACUGAAAAGUAUGUGAAAAUUUCCUUUACAAUCCUGUGUGAGGUUUAAUUAUAAAAACUAGUAUCUUGGACACUUAACUAUUUUUUUUCAGAGGGAAUCAGAGCUAUUUCCAUGAAUUAAUGUCUUAAUCCCCACAACAAUGAGGUCGUGGUCAUCUAGUUGUAGAAUGACUCCUGCCUGCUACAUUUCCCCAGAUACCCAGGACCUUCAUGCUGUCACUCUCCAUGACCUGACCAACAUCUAUUUUGAGAAAUUAUUUUAUAUACUCAUUCAAACAGAAUAGUACAUUACAGAUUCUGUCUGAGCAAAGAGGAGCAGCAAGCUGGUAAACCUGAAAUACUCAUCCAAAGAAACCAACGUCGUCAACAAUUCUGUGAAAAAUGUGGUUAUGGUAGGGCUUCCAACUUAUUUCUGGAACUAUUAAUAUAUCUAUUCAUGAUGAGAAAUCAUUUUUGUUAAAACUGAGUACAAUCAAGCAACACCACAUAUAUCUCUGGAAUGAAUGUAUACAGCUCAGAAAUAUUCACUAGGAUAAUGUUUUACCUAAGUGAAAUAAACUUGCCAGCACACACACACACACACACACACACACACACACACACCCCUGGCCCUCACAGUGAGAAGAGGCUUUGGUUUCUUGCUCAAACUUUUGCGAAGAAUGGAAGUUCUGUGGAGUAGUACAAACUCAAGCAAAAGAAGUCCUAAAGAUGGCUCCCUUCCAUCAACUUGCUCCAGCUUUAGGCUUCUAAAAGGGUCCAAAGAACAGCUCCAAUAGGAACAAUUCAUUAUUCUAAACUUGUUUCCUUUCAGUAAAAAUGGGAAUGGAGAUUAUGCAACAUGCUUGUUUAUUGACAUCUUCAGACCAUACUGACAUCUGCUUAUACCAUAUUGAGUGCUAUCCAGUAAAAUUCCCCUAUAUUUCCUGUUCCACUUCCUAGGUUCAUCCAAUCUGCCUUCUGGAAAUAGCGAUCAGCAAAAGUUGUAUUUCAUAAUUGUAUUAUUGGCUGAAUUAUUAAUUGAAAUGAAAACAACAUUUUAAUGGGCUUAAAAGUCGUUUGGAAAUGAGAUAAAAUGUUCUAAGCAGUGCCUGCCUAGACGCAGACCUAAAGGAAAGCACUCUGACAGUUUGAUUAUUAUGCACAUUAGCACAAUCGAGUUGGCUCCCAGUUCCUAGAAUAACAUUCUCCUCUAUGCAUAAAUGUCUCUCCUCAUUGUUUGCUUUUCAUUGCAUUUAUGUGUGAUGCCUCAAGGAUAAUUCUUUCCUUCUGAGUAAUCUCACAUAUUAUGUUACUGCAAUACUAUCUCUAUCGUUGCUGUCAUAAAUGACUUGCUUCUUUUGCACCAGUUGAGGAGAGAAACCCAAAAUCACAACUCAACCCUCCAAACUGGAUCUUUAUAGAGACCAACCAGAUCUAUAUGACCUAAUGCCUGUUACCUCUCUGACCUCAUUUCCUACUACCUCCUCCCCAUUUUGCCCAUUCUAGUCCAGUCACACUGGCAUCCUUCCUCUAUGCCAAACUCCUUGACCACACACCAAUACAGGACUUUUGCAUUAGCUAUUACCUCUGAUUAGACAAGUCUUCUCUACUCCCUUUCCUCUUUCAAGUCUCUGCUGAAAUGUCAACUUCUCAAAGAGGCUUAUCCUGACACUAUUAAAUACUGAAACAUGACCCCUGUGACUCAUUUGAACUCCUGUUCCCUUAAAUGGCUCUACUUUUACUUUUAUCCCUAGCACUUUUCAGUUACUAACCUAGCAGAUAAUUUACCUUUGUAUUUUGUUAUUUCUGCCUCCUGUCUAGA